UACGGAGGGGGCUAGCGUUGUUCGGAAUUACUGGGCGUAAAGCGCACGUAGGCGGCUGUUCAAGUCAGAGGUGAAAGCCUGGAGCUCAACUCCAGAACUGCCUUUGAAACUAGACAGCUAGAAUCAUGGAGAGGUGAGUGGAAUUCCGAGUGUAGAGGUGAAAUUCGUAGAUAUUCGGAAGAACACCAGUGGCGAAGGCGGCUCACUGGACAUGUAUUGACGCUGAGGUGCGAAAGCGUGGGGAGCAAACAGG
rnacentral:rRNA from 2 species